rnacentral:rRNA from 1 species
UUCGCAAUGCCCGAAAGGGUGACGAAGCGACGCCGCGUGCGGGAGGAAGGCCUUCGGGUUGUAAACCGCUGUCGGGAGUUAAGAAAUGCAAGGAUGUUAAUAGCGUUCUUGCUUGACUAAGGCUCCAGAGGAAGCCACGGCUAACUCUGUGCCAGCAGCCGCGGUAAUACAGAGGCGGCAAGCGUUGUUCGGAAUUAUUGGGCGUAAAGAGCACGUAGGCGGCCUUGCAAGUCAGUUGUGAAAGCCUUCCGCUUAACGGAAGAACGGCAUCCGAUACUGCAUAGCUUGAGUGUGGGAGGGGAGAGUGGAACUUCUGGUGGAGCGGUGAAAUGCGUAGAUAUCAGAAGGAACACCGGCGGCGAAGGCGACUCUCUGGUCCAUAACUGACGCUGAGUGUGCGAAAGCUAGGGGAGCAAACGGGAUUAGAUACCCCGGUAGUCCUAGCCGUAAACGAUGGGCACUAAGUAGAGGGGUUUU